AGCAGCCGCGGUAAUUCCAGCUCCAAUAGCGUAUGUUAAAGUUGUUGCAGUUAAAAAGCUCGUAGUUGAACUUCCGGCCGUCCCCGUGUUCCCCGGCCCCCGCGGUCGGGCUCGGGGCGGCCGUCCGUCUGCGACCCCUUCUCGGCCUUCACUGGUCCUCGGUUGGUGGGAGCAGGCACUUUACUUUGAGAAAAU
rnacentral:rRNA from 1 species